GGAUGAGCCCGCGGCCUAUCAGCUAGUCGGUGGGGUAACGGCCUACCGAGGCGAUGACGGGUAGCUGGUCUGAGAGGACGGCCAGCCACACGGGGACUGAGACACGGCCCCGACUCCUACGGGAGGCAGCAGUGAGGAAUCUUCCGCAAUGGGCGAAAGCCUGACGGAGCGACACCGCGUGUGGGAUGAAGUCUUUCGGGAUGUAAACCACUGUCGGAGGGGAAGACAAAAAAGACGGUACCCUCCAAGAAAGCCCCGGCUAACUACGUGCCAGCAGCCGCGGCCG
rnacentral:rRNA from 1 species